GUUGUUAUAAUAGUCUGUGAGUAGCACCAGUGAGCUGAGGUCACUGAACAAGUGACUGUGACCUUUUGGCAACUGUGUCUCCCUCUAGCCGGACUGUGCAAUGUUCCUGUUUGGACAAGGCUAGGCUCCACUCCAAAGUGCUCCUGUGUACUAAAGAGGAAGCCAAGGCUGGGGGUCAAGGUGUUUUCAAGUGUGCAGGCUGGUGGGAUAUGACUUAACUUCCUUUUCCCCAAGGCUGUAGUUAGGAGCUGCGGUAAUGCUCACCAAGAGCAUGCACUUCUCCCAUCUGGAACAGAAUUCCUUCACCUUUCCGUGUCUUCUUGAUCGCUCUCUGAGGGAGAAAGUCUGUCAGACAUUUCCCUACGUCUGUCUCCACAUCCGUGCAACUGUCCGGUCAAACCUUUGGAACGUAUCACCUUAAAAGACCUUCGCUUCCACUCACACAAGAGCCAAGAAUGCCAUCAGAGGCCGUCCAAGGCAAGGACUUCCCAGUUUUGAUGGGACUUCUGACCGAGCUUGUGAGCAAGGUGUCUGAAAGGUGCCUUCAUGUAUGACUUUGUUCUGCUACCAUAAAAACUUCAUGAAACCAUUUCCAGUUGAUCCAUGGUAUUUAGGAUGGCCUGAAUCUCUUUCUGGGCCAAGGUCACUUAUAUCUGGCUCCAGAAUAAGGUAUCUCUUAUUCCCUUGGAGCUGUGCCGUGCAUUACUGAUACACAACUAAGAUUCAUGCAGAAGACGCUGACGGCUGUGUGCAUUCUGGCGAACAGAAGCGACAGCAAAUGUGUGUGCCUUGUUACUUUCCCUGAUGCUCAAUCCACAGGGGACACUGAUGGCACACCAAAGAGAAGAAUCCUUCCAAGACCAGCCCGGUGAACCAACGAGUGUGUUAGGGUCUCUUACGGGAGCGUAGAUGACUCACGCAGCUGGAUUUCUGAAAUGUCCAGGCCAGUGUGGGCAACGACCCACAAUGCUGCACCACUGGAAACCAGUCAGCCUUGGGCCUCUCGUGUACCCUAUGUUCGUUCCCAAGACCAUAUACAGGUGGGGUAGAGGAACUGGGGCCUGGAGCUCUGGUCCGCGCCUUCUAGAGGGAGUAUUCACAGCCUCUUGCUGUUACCACAGAUCAGCUGUUACUGCCAGUCACUCGCGACUGGGGGUGAUGGUGUCCUGUGGGCCACCACACAGUACAGCCGCAGUUCUCUUGGCCUUUAUGGAUGGCAGCUUAGAGAUAUUGCCACUUGCUAAAAUGCAGAUAUCUUCCAACUGAGGAGGAGAGGAGAGACAGUUUUGAAGUUGGUUUUGAAUAUUUAUCAGCAGUCUCUGCCAUGGGCCUCCGUGACACCCUCCCUCCCUCUCUCUCCUCGCCUCGCCUUUCCUUAGGCCCUCUCCCAGUGACACAGAAUAAAAUAGCCAUUCAGACUUCACUUUAUUUUCUCUUUCUGCUUGUUCUCAUCAAAUGCCCCUUUCACGUGGAGCCCGAGGAAGCUCAUUCUAGAAUGUUCAGGGAAAGAAAAGUCUUGGGAAAUCCCUGUCGCAGAAUGUACCUCCCACAGCACAAUGGAAACAGGGGGCUUUUCUGAAGGAGU